GGCCCAAUAGCAUAGCGGUCAAUGCCUCGCCCAUUCAUAGGCUCAGUGGGUGAUUUUAGGCGAAGGUCGCAGGUUCGACUCCUGCUUGGGCCC